AUCCACGCCGAGGCUCCACCCCUCCUUAGGGCAGGUAUGACCGAGAGCUGGGGCGGGAGCGUUGACCUGUCGGGUAAAGCCAGCCCUACCGCUCGACUCAGUUGCACGCGCAGGGAGUGUGUGUUCACUCUGACUCGGCCCGGCUCCCCGUCCCCGCCGAAGCGCAGAGGCGAAUGAGAGCUGAGUCCUGGGGAGCAGCGCUCCGACUCACGCCCUCAGCAAGCCGAGUGUUUAAAAUACAUUCAGCCACUAGAUGUCGCUGUGGCCCCACCGCGAGGACGCGGAGGGAGGCGCUGCAGAGCACGGGCGACGUGACCACAGCUGUCGGGGCUAACUCUGGAAUGCCGGGUGCUCGGAGGAGCCUCCCCAGCUGGGGCCAAGCAGCGUCCAAGCAGAGGAGGAAACAGAUUCAGAUGGCAAAGGCAGAAAACGGGACGUGCUACUUUACCAGCACAUCACUGGGGGUAGGAGAUGAGGUCAGAGAACUCGCCAGGCCCAGAUCACCCAGCGCCUGAGUGGCUGGAGGUUAAGUGAGUUGGGUUUUUACAGGGUCCCUCUGUGUGGGUGUGGGGGGAAAGCUGAGAGGCCGAGGAGCAGGCAGAUGUGGUCAUCCAGGUAGGUUUGCCAGACUUAGCAAAGAAAAAUACAGGAUGCAUGCACUACUCGGGACAUACCUAACUAAAGAAUUAUUUGUUGUUUAUCUGAAAUUCCAACUUAAAACACUGGGUAUCCUGUAUUUUAGCUAGCAACCCAGGUGGCAGGUGGAAGAUGGAGAUUCACGAUUGCUUCUGGAAGACUCGCUGUGUGAUUCCGCCCACCCCAUGGCCAUUCCCUCCUCCUGAGAUGUUCAGAGCAGGAUUCCUACCUAGUGCCCCGCCAAACAUGGCCCACACCCCAAGUCACCCUGGACCACACCCGCCCCUCCGUCAUUUCCUACAGGCUUUUCCUGCAGAUUGAGAGAGGAAACUGGGCAGGGAGCACACCACUGAUGGGUGAAAUGAUGAUCUCACAGGAAACCAGACAAGCUAGAGUUGUCACCACACCCUGGACUCAGAGAACUUGGGUACUUCACCGACGGCCACCUCCCAUCGCCCUUUCAUUCUUCAUGGGCAGGGCCUUGCAAGCCUUGGUGAUGGAUUUUAUUCCAUGAGAUGGGGCAGCUGUUGCAGGAACACGAUUUGAGUUGUUUUUUGAAAGAUUGCUCUGGCUACUGUGCAGAGUGGCUUCUCAGGGUGCACACGGGGGAGAUGUCGUAGGACAACUGGGUGUUGGAUCUGGAGCUCAGGGAGAACAACCCUCAGAGGAGAUGGCCCCUGGCUGAGCCUGGAGAUACCACCAUUCCAGAGAAGAGCAGAGGGCCAGGAGAAGGGGCGUGUGGCUGUGUGGUUGACAUCUCGAUGACAUGUGCUGUGUGUGUCCCUCACAGACUUGGGAUCUUUCUGGGAGGCAAACACAGGCCUUGGGGAAUGUUCUGGGAUGGGCGAUGUCAGCCUCAGUGUGUUUGCUCAGCUGCUGGGCUCUCUUGGGACCAUAGAGGACUGCAGCACCAAUGGUGGAACUCCAGGCGUGGUGACAGGAUGUGACCAGGUUCCCCCACCCAGGUCUGUGGUCAGCCUGGCUGUGCUGAAUGGUGGAAGCAGGGGUGAGGCCCCGAGAGGUGUCUGGAGCCAUCUGGCCGUGAGGUCAGCCACCCAGCCAGGCCUCUGGAAGCCAUGGGCAGCCACUUCCCAGAUGCGGCUUCCUGCCCUUUCCUCCACCAAAACCACACUCAGCUCAUAGGCUGGCCUCAGGGGCAGUCCCUUUCCCACGGGGAGGGCCGCAUGCAAAUGCCACACUGAGCUGAGCCAAGGCAGGGGUCAAUUCUGAAGGCCUGGAUCCUCCAUGUCCUAUGGGCAGGUCAACCACAACAAAGCCCAGCCUGCCCAUCAAGCCCCACUGCUUUCCACUGCUUUGGUGCCUUCGCCUCUCUGGGUGAACCCUGCUCACCCUGAGCCCCUGCAUGUAAGGCACUUUUAGAUGCAAUCAUCCCCUGCGAUUUUCCUGAUACAGGGAGAAGAAGGCAGGUGGCCCUGGCCACUGUGUGUGCUGACGCAGAGCGAACAGGCAGCAGCACUGGAGGGAGGGAGGAGUGUGUGUGUGGCUGUGCGUCCUGUGUGUGGAUUUUUGUGUGCAAGUCCCGUGUGUGUACCUAGCAUGUAUGUCCCAGUAGCUUGUGUGUACCUGUGCCCUGGGUGUGUGCUUGUGCAAAUCUCUGUGUGUGUUUGUGCAAAUCUUUGUGAAUGUAAACCUGUACCUAAGAGUGUUGUCUGUGUGUCAACGUGUGUGUAUAGGCGCCUGGAACCAGUUAUGAUUUAGAUCAACACCCCACUUUCAGCCUUGGCGAGAUUCCUUCCUGCAGGACCGGGGAACAGAUCACUACUCCCAUUUUGCAGAAGUGAGACUGAGGCUCAGAGAGGGCCGAGACUUGCCUAAGGUCACCAGCUGAUGGGAUUACAAUUCAGUCCUUACCUCUAUGGUGGCUUCUAAGGGUUCAUGGGUGUUCUUGGUCCCAAACUCUCCUCCCCAACCUGUUCCAUUGGUGCCUGCAAUACCCCUGUUGGGAAGAGACAGUGUCCUUGGCAGAUUCAUCUGUUAAACUGGCCUCCCUUCAUGAAACAGGGACAAUCCAUCCUUCCCAAGACUGUCCUAGCGG